rnacentral:rRNA from 1 species
AUUGAACGCUGGCGGCAUGCCUUACACAUGCAAGUCGAACGGUAACGCGGGGCAACCUGGCGACGAGUGGCGAACGGGUGAGUAAUGUAUCGGAACGUGCCCAGUUGUGGGGGAUAACUGCUCGAAAGAGCAGCUAAUACCGCAUGAGACCUGAGGGCGAAAGCGGGGGAUCGCAAGACCUCGCGCUAUUGGAGCGGCCGAUAUCAGAUUAGCUAGUUGGUGGGGUAAAAGCCUACCAAGGCGACGAUCUGUAGCUGGUCUGAGAGGACGACCAGCCACACUGGGACUGAGACACGGCCCAGACUCCUACGGGAGGCAGCAGUGGGGAAUUUUGGACGAUGGGCGCAAGCCUGAUCCAGCCAUGCCGCGUGCGGGAAGAAGGCCUUCGGGUUGUAAACCGCUUUUGUCAGGGAAGAAACGGUCUGGGUUAAUACCCCGGACUAAUGACGGUACCUGAAGAAUAAGCACCGGCUAACUACGUGCCAGCCGCCGCCGUAAAAC